CUCUGGCCAGUGUCCCAGCCACUCUGUGGCAUCUCAUGAGCUGGGCAGGCACAGAUAUUGUCUUCCCACUGUGGCUGCACCUGUCUCUGAGUCUGGCCUCACUCUGGCUUCCUGCCCAGGCUGGUCCCAGGAACUUGGCCUGGGACACCUGAACUCUGGACUAAGGUCUACUCUGGUCCAUGAAGAAGGGCCACCCCAGUCCCUGAGACCAGGGCUAGCUCUCAGCAGCCAGUGGGUGACCUCUGUGGGUGUCCUGGGAAGUCCUGAGGGCCCCAGAUGGAGGGGGAGGCAGACCAUGGAGGAUGAGGAGCCCCCGGGGGAGGGGAGGCCUGACACUCCUGGAGGUGGAGCCUGCUGGGCACAGCGCCACAGGUACGGGGUGCCAGAUGGACACCUCCAAGGCCAUGCCCUGUGCUGCUGCCCCAGACAAGGCUCCCACCCAUCGGCAUGCCGCCCCCAUUUUUGUCUCUAACAUUCUAGAAAAUCAGGAAGCCACCGCCGCCACCACCCCCAGAAAAGAAGCCCAAGAAAGUGCCUCCUCCACCGCCCCCGCCCCCGCCGCCCCCCGUGACCGUGUGUCCCACAGUGAUCGUCUGCUGCUGUGCCUGCCAGGGGGUGUGGGUGAGCAGAGUGUCCCAGGGCACCCUGGACGGCUUCUACAACUACAUCCAGCCCACCUGCCACCCUUCACCGAUGAUGUUGUGCCGGGCCAGGGGCCAGGAGAGGUGGCCCAACCUCGCCCUCAUGAAGGCCCCCAGCAGCUCCAGCCUCUGCCUUCAACCCAGCCUGGAGAGUCUCCCCCUCAUCUGGUGUCCCCAGUGCCACCACCUCCCAGACAGUUUUAG
rnacentral:lncRNA from 1 species